rnacentral:rRNA from 1 species
UAACGCGUGAGUAACCUGCCUUGGAGUGGGGAAGUAACACAUCGAAAGAUGUGCUAAUACCGCAUAAUGCAGUUGGGCCGCAUGGCUCUGACUGCCAAAGAUUUAUCGCUCUGAGAUGGACUCGCGUCUGAUUAGCUGGUUGGCGGGGUAACGGCCCACCAAGGCGACGAUCGGUAGCCGGACUGAGAGGUUGACCGGCCACAUUGGGACUGAGACACGGCCCAGACUCCUACGGAAGGCAGCAG